CCAGCUCCAAUAGCAUAUAUUAAAGUUGCUGCAGUUAAAAAGCUCGUAGUUGGCAGUUGGGAUGGGAGCAAGUGACGAUUGUAAGGUUGUCGCUUGCAUUCAUUCUUUUUCUGGUGUGGUGUGUAUAAGAUUCGCUUCUUGUACACACACUUUGCACCAGUCAUUACUUUGAAGAAAAUAGAGUGUUCAAAGCAAGCGAUUGCAUGAAUACGUUAGCAUGGAAUAAUAGAGUGGAACGAGCUUUCCAGUUUAUUGGUUUAUGGGGAGGAGCGUUUGAUGAGCAAUAGGAACAGUUGGGGGCAUUCGUAUUCAGGAGCUAGAGGUGAAAUUCUUGGAUUUCCUGAAGACGGACUAUAGCGAAAGCAUUUGCCAAGGAUGUUUUCA
rnacentral:rRNA from 1 species